GGCUGAGACACACUCGUGGGCU
rnacentral:misc_RNA from 1 species